GACGUCUUAUUUCAGCCGUUUACAUCAUUUACAGCAUCGCAUCAUAAAUAAUAGCAUUUUAAAGUUUGUUACUCCUGUUCUAUUAUAGAGAACUGAAUGCCCAGCAUGAACUCUCCGUGAGAGCACAACAUCCAUUUUAACGGAACAGAGUGAUUGAAUGGUUUGGUUUCUGAACAUUCCGUCCAAUAACAUCCAGAUUCCAUUCCAUUCUCCUUCCCAUUAAAAUCAUUUUCAAUCUCAUUUUCUUAUCAUAUACUUUCCCGUCAUCAUCCAAUCCAAUCUAAUCUGG
rnacentral:lncRNA from 1 species